rnacentral:lncRNA from 1 species
UGAAGGGCUCUUUGAUGACUCCCUCACCCAUCUUUUUCUUUUCUCCUUGACCAUGGUGCUCUUCCUUAUUGCAGACUUUACUGCCCCUUCAGCCUGGGCUUCAAAAGGUGAACACGUACAGCAGAUGUGAGAGCAACCACCAGCAAGGAACAAAACCUGCACUCAGCAGAACCCAGCCUAGAUCCGCUGACCAGCCAACCAACAUAGAGAUACAUUCAUGAGAAUAAAUAAUUGCUGCAAGUUACAGAGUUCUAUAUAAGUUUUUGGAUGUAGUAUUAUGAUGCUAAUAACUAAUGGAUAUAGAAAUUGAUUCAUGGGCAGGUCCAAGGAAUCCUUCCUGAGGAAAUGGCAGUCAGCUGAAUGUUACUCAGCCUUACAGAGGAAGCAAAUUAUGACACAUACUACAACAUGGAUAAACCUUGAGGACAUUAUCCUAAGAGAAAUGGGCCAGUGACAAAAGGAUAAAUGCUGUAAGACCCCACUUAUAUGAGGUGCACAGAGGAAAGGCCAUAUGAGCACACAGAGGGAAGGUGGCCGUCCACAAGCCAAGAGAAGAGGGCUCAAAAUGAAACCAAUCCACCUGGAGCCUGGAUCUGGGGCUUUUAGCGUAUAUAACUCUGAGAAAAUAAACUUGUGUUGGUUAGACCGCCUAGUGUUUCAUAUUUUGUUACAGCAUCCUGAGCUGACUAAUUCAUCUCAUAUGGGCACAUUCCUUGUUAGGAUUCUCUUACAGAGAAUCUCUUUCCAAGAUGAAAUUAAAGGGAAGUGAAUUCUCUCUUCAUUUCUUAAAAAUCACAAUGUAUAUCUGGGGAAUAAGAAAUUGUGGAAAAGCAAGGUGAAAUCCCCCAGGGGAAUGAGUUCCAGCAAUUCUCAUGACACACGGUGUGGCCUAACUCCCUAGCUUGUUGUUUUAUGUGCCUGGAGAAUCUGAAGAACAAGGCCAUCUGGAUCUCUAGACUUGAGUGCUGCUUUCCUGGAAUCCACCCUUGGAGCCCAGCCAUGUUGCAGGCUGACCCCAACCACCUGGAGGAGCCACCUGGGAGCACUGUGGUCCAUAGCCCCAACUGAGCUCCAGCCAGGUGAAUGUGCCAUCUUGUGAUGUUCAGUCCAGUCGAGACUUGUGGUGGCACAUCCUGCACGCCAUCUGAUGGCAACUCUGUGAAAGGCUCCUAGCAAGACCUGCCCAACCAAACCCUUCCUAAGCUCCUGACCCACAAAACAAUUACCCAAAUAAAAUGGUUGUUGUAAGUUGCCAAGUUUUGAGUUAAUUUGUCAGGUAGCAAAAGAUAACAGGAACAACCACCCAAAACAGAUGUGCAUUUGCCAGGGCCAAGGGAACUUACAGGGAACCACAUGUGAUAUUGGAGGAAGCAAAAAACCUUUAAGUUACAGUGAAUCACUGGAAGCAGCAGUGGGGUUGUGGGUCAGCUCGGAGGAAGGAGUGUUGAGGUCUAAGCAGGAGUGUCCUUUGGAGUCACAUGGUUCAGGGCAAAAGGGAAUGACAG